AACGAACGCUGGCGGCAGGCCUAACACAUGCAAGUCGAACGCUCGUAGCAAUACGGGAGUGGCAGACGGGUGCGUAACGCGUGGGAACAUACCCUUUGGUUCGGAAUAACUCAGGGAAACUUGAGCUAAUACCGGAUACGCCCGAGAGGGGAAAGAUUUAUUGCCGAAGGAUUGGCCCGCGUCUGAUUAGCUGGUUGGUAGGGUAACGGCCUACCAAGGCGACGAUCAGUAGCUGGUCUGAGAGGAUGAUCAGCCACACUGGGACUGAGACACGGCCCAGACUCCUACGGGAGGCAGCAGUGGGGAAUAUUGGACAAUGGGCGCAAGCCUGAUCCAGCCAUGCCGCGUGAGUGAUGACGGCCUUAGGGUUGUAAAGCUCUUUUACCCGGGAAGAUAAUGACGGUACCGGGAGAAUAAGCCCCGGCUAACUUCGUG
rnacentral:rRNA from 1 species